rnacentral:rRNA from 1 species
AGCGGAGGAAAAGAAACCAACAGGGAUUGCCUCAGUAACGGCGAGUGAAGCGGCAACAGCUCAAAUUUGAAAUCUGGCUCUCGGGCCCGAGUUGUAAUUUGUAGAGGAUGCUUUUGGUGAGGUGCCUUCCGAGUUCCCUGGAACGGGACGCCAUAGAGGGUGAGAGCCCCGUCUGGUUGGACGCCGAACCUCUGUAAAGCUCCUUCGACGAGUCGAGUAGUUUGGGAAUGCUGCUCUAAAUGGGAGGUAUAUGUCUUCUAAAGCUAAAUACCGGCCAGAGACCGAUAGCGCACAAGUAGAGUGAUCGAAAGAUGAAAAGAACUUUGAAAAGAGAGUUAAACAGUACGUGAAAUUGUUGAAAGGGAAGCGCUUGUGACCAGACUUGGGCUUGGUUGAUCAUCCGGGGUUCUCCCCGGUGCACUCUUCCGGCCCAGGCCAGCAUCAGUUCGCCCUGGGGGACAAAGGCUUCGGGAACGUGGCUCUCUCCGGGGAGUGUUAUAGCCCGUUGCGUAAUACCCUGUGGCGGACUGAGGUUCGCGCAUUCGCAAGGAUGCUGGCGUAAUGGUCAUCAGUGACCCGU